rnacentral:rRNA from 1 species
GACGAACGCUGGCGGCGUGCUUAACACAUGCAAGUCGAACGGAAAGGCCCUGCUUUUGUGGGGUGCUCGAGUGGCGAACGGGUGAGUAACACGUGAGUAACCUGCCCUUGACUUUGGGAUAACUUCAGGAAACUGGGGCUAAUACCGGAUAGGAGCUCCUGCUGCAUGGUGGGGGUUGGAAAGUUUCGGCGGUUGGGGAUGGACUCGCGGCUUAUCAGCUUGUUGGUGGGGUAGUGGCUUACCAAGGCUUUGCAGGGUAGCCGGCCUGAGAGGGUGACCGGCCACAUUGGGACUGAGAUACGGCCCAGACUCCUACGGGAGGCAGCGGUGGGGAAUAUUGCACAAUGGGCGGAAGCCUGAUGCAGCAACGCCGCGUGCGGGAUGACGGCCUGCGGGUUGUAAACCGCUUUCGCCUGUGACGAAGCGUGAGUGACGGUAAUGGGUAAAGAAGCACCGGCUAACUACGUG